CACUGCUAUUAUAAUUUUCAAAAACAAACCAUAUUUACAUUCAGAACAAAUGGCAACUCCUAUAACCUACCGACAAAGCACACUAUUUUAUGCUAACACUAACAAAAAUACGUGAUAACAUCCCCACAGGCUUAAUAUUACAUCACCAGAUAAUUUUUACCACAUUGGCCAAGAAAAUACUAUUCAAUUCCAUUGUUUGACCUGAUUAUCUGAAGCUCCAAAAGAGCGUGCUUUUUAUGAAGCUCCAUACCAGUAGUCAAGUGUAAUCAGUACCAAACAGGGUGUGUUCCUUUGGCUCUGAGCAGUUUAGUAUAGGGUGAAUCUGGCAUUCUAGCUUUCUCCUCUUCCUCGAGCUCUUCUCUCGACUUUGGCAAUCCAUCUGGUAUAGGACACGGUCCUCCUGCCCGUUGUGCAUCAAGAUUGACAGGUUUGGCUGAUUCUUUGCUUUCCUUUUUGGCUUUGUGCAUGUCUGAAACUCCAUGUAAGCAGCCAAUGAGAGUUUUCACUCCCCCUGCUUGAAGUAUUAGCCUCUCUACCUCCUCCUUAGGUGCUUCUUUUUCAAGAUCUUUGAGUUCAAAAUAGGCUUGCCAGCAGCUAUAAGAAUCAUCACCUUCUAGAACAGAACAAUAAUCGGCAAGUUCAUUUUCAGAUUUUUCGAUCAAAGGGGGAUCUUUAAAAACUCUAUCAAACUUGGUUCUGCUAAAAGGCUCGAGCUUUGGUAUGUAAGCAUGACUUCUUGAACAACAACGAAUUGUCGACGAAUUUACUUGAAAUCUUGAAGAAUGAAGCUCAUUAUUAACUCCAACGAGAGAAGUAGAAGAUAAGGAAUUGAGAGCCAUUGAUUGUAACAUCAUCG
rnacentral:misc_RNA from 1 species